UACGUAGGGAGCGAGCGUUGUCCGGAAUUACUGGGUGUAAAGGGAGCGUAGGCGGGAUUGCAAGUCAGAUGUGAAAUGCAGGGGCUCAACCCCUGAGCUGCAUUUGAAACUGUAGUUCUUGAGUGAAGUAGAGGUAAGCGGAAUUCCUGGUGUAGCGGUGAAAUGCGUAGAUAUCAGGAGGAACACCGGUGGCGAAGGCGGCUUACUGGGCUUUUACUGACGCUGAGGCUCGAAAGCGUGGGGAGCAAAC
rnacentral:rRNA from 1 species